rnacentral:rRNA from 1 species
UACGGAGGAUCCGAGCGUUAUCCGGAUUUAUUGGGUUUAAAGGGUGCGCAGGCGGGAGAUUAAGUCGGCGGUGAAAUUUUGCAGCUCAACUGUAAAAGUGCCUUCGAAACUGGUAUCCUUGAGUGUGGAUGAAGUAGGCGGAAUUUGUGGUGUAGCGGUGAAAUGCAUAGAUAUCACGAGGAACUCCGAUUGCGCAGGCAGCUUACUAAGCCAUAACUGACGCUCAGGCACGAAGGCGUGGGGAUCAAACAGGAUUAGAUACCCUGGUAGUCCACGCAGUAAACGAUGAUUACUGGCUGUUUGCGAUAUACAGUAAGCGGCUGAGCGAAAGCGUUAAGUAAUCCACCUGGGGAGUACGUUCGCAAGAAUGAA